rnacentral:misc_RNA from 1 species
GUAGGUGAACCUGCGGAAGGAUCAUUACAGAGUUCAUGCCCUCACGGGUAGAUCUCCCACCCUUGAAUAUUUUAUACUUUUGUUGCUUUGGCGGGCCGCUUCGGCUACCGGCUUUGGCUGGUGAGUGCCCGCCAGAGGACCCCAAAUUCUGAAUUAUAGUGUCGUCUGAGUACUAUAAAAUAGUUAAAACUUUCAACAACGGAUCUCUUGGUUCUGGCAUCGAUGAAGAACGCAGCAUCUGACUGACUGA